CCCCAUCCCGAGCUGCUUUCUCUCUCCCAGGCGAUUUCCAGAUCUAGGGUUUCAAUGACAUCGAAUCGUUGAUUUUCUCUCUAUCCCACAGAAGAUCCACUGGGGUUGACCUCUAGGUACCGUUUUAAACCAUCUUCUCUGAGAUCGGCUGCUGCUUAUGUUAAUCCUCAUGGUCUUCUGUUCAGAUCUGGUUUUAAUACCGUUAACUUCUUCGAGAUCCGUUGCUGCUCGUGUUAAUCCUCAUCUUCUUCUGUUCAGAUCUGGCUUUAAUAAUGGUGGCUGAACAACAAGUGAGUAGCUUGUGUUUGGAGGCUCAU